GGGGUUGUGGCGCAGUGGUAGCGCGUCCGCUUUGCAAGUUCAACCAUGUCGUCGAUGUGGUUGAAAUACAUGUAUUUGCGGAAGGUCCUCGGAUCGUUCCCGAGCUGCUCCA